rnacentral:rRNA from 1 species
GACGAACGCUGGCGGCGUGCUUAACACAUGCAAGUCGAACGGAAAGGCCCUGCUUUUGUGGGGUGCUCGAGUGGCGAACGGGUGAGUAACACGUGAGUAACCUGCCCUUGACUUUGGGAUAACUUCAGGAAACUGGGGCUAAUACCGGAUAGGAGCUCCUGCUGCAUGGUGGGGGUUGGAAAGUUUCGGCGGUUGGGGAUGGACUCGCGGCUUAUCAGCUUGUUGGUGGGGUAGUGGCUUACCAAGGCUUUGACGGGUAGCCGGCCUGAGAGGGUGACCGGCCACAUUGGGACUGAGAUACGGCCCAGACGCCUACGGGAGGCAGCAGGGGGGAAUAUUGCACAAUGGGCGGAAGCCUGAUGCAGCAACGCCGCGUGCGGGAUGACGGCUUUCGGGUUGUAAACCGCUUUCGCCUGUGACGAAGCGUGAGUGACGGUAAUGGGUAAAGAAGCACCGGCUAACUACGUG